rnacentral:rRNA from 1 species
AGCGGCGGACGGGUGAGUAAUGCUUAGGAAUCUGCCAUUUAGUGGGGGACAACAUUCCGAAAGGGAUGCUAAUACCGCAUACGUCCUACGGGAGAAAGCAGGGGAUCUUCGGACCUUGCGCUAAAUGAUGAGCCUAAGUCGGAUUAGCUAGUUGGUGGGGUAAAGGCCUACCAAGGCGACGAUCUGUAGCGGGUCUGAGAGGAUGAUCCGCCACACUGGGACUGAGACACGGCCCAGACUCCUACGGGAGGCAGCAGUGGGGAAUAUUGGACAAUGGGCGGAAGCCUGAUCCAGCCAUGCCGCGUGUGUGAAGAAGGCCUUUUGGUUGUAAAGCACUUUAAGCGAGGAGGAGGCUACCUAGAUUAAUACUCUGGGAUAGUGGACGUUACUCGCAGAAUAAGCACCGGCUAACUCUGUGCCAGCAGCCGCGGUAAUACAGAGGGUGCGAGCGUUAAUCGGAUUUACUGGGCGUAAAGCGUGCGUAGGCGGCUGAUUAAGUCGGAUGUGAAAUCCCUGAGCUUAACUUAGGAAUUGCAUUCGAUACUGGUCAGCUAGAGUAUGGGAGAGGAUGGUAGAAUUCCAGGUGUAGCGGUGAAAUGCGUAGAGCUCUGGAGGAAUACCGAUGGCGAAGGCAGCCAUCUGGCCUAAUACUGACGCUGAGGUACGAAAGCAUGGGGAGCAAACAGGAUUAGAUACCCUGGUAGUCCACGCCGUAAACGAUGUCUACUAGC